rnacentral:rRNA from 1 species
UGGGGAAUAUUGGACAAUGGGCGAAAGCCUGAUCCAGCCAUGCCGCGUGUGUGAAGAAGGUCUUCGGAUUGUAAAGCACUUUAAGUUGGGAGGAAGGGCAGUAAGCGAAUACCUUGCUGUUUUGACGUUACCGACAGAAUAAGCACCGGCUAACUCUGUGCCAGCAGCCGCGGUAAUACAGAGGGUGCAAGCGUUAAUCGGAAUUACUGGGCGUAAAGCGCGCGUAGGUGGUUCGUUAAGUUGAAUGUGAAAGCCCCGGGCUCAACCUGGGAACUGCAUCCAAAACUGGCGGGCUAGAGUAGGGCAGAGGGUGGUGGAAUUUCCUGUGUAGCGGUGAAAUGCGUAGAGAUAGGAAGGAACACCAGUGGCGAAGGCGACCACCUGGGCUCAUACUGACACUGAGGUGCGAAAGCGUGGGGAGCAAACAGG